rnacentral:antisense_RNA from 1 species
GGAGGAAGUGCUCUGUGAGGGGGGCCUGGGAGAGAAUCAGGAGAACAGGGUACAACAGCUGGUGAGAGUUUUGCUUCUGAUAUAGACAAUGCCUGCAGAGCAAACCAUUACAGCUAAGAGAGAUCUUUAAGUGAAAGAAAAGGAGAAGGCUCCAUCUCAGCUUAUUAGAAGACUUGAAUUUGUCUAAUGUCUUGGCUGGGAAAAGCAGCUCAGUUCUCUCUGAAAAGGAAAACCCAAGACAGAAAGCAUGGAUGUGGAAGAAGGCUGGAGUGCAGUGGCGCGAUCUCGGCUCACUGCAAGCUCUGCCUCCCGGGUUCACGCCAUUCUCCUGCCUCAGCCUCCCGAGUAGCUGGGACUAGAGGCGCCCACCACCACAUCCGGCUAAUUGCUUUUAGCACUUUUUUGGGAGAGGGGUGUGGCAACAGUAAAGCUUUCUACAUGUUAAACAGAAUGAACAAAACCAACGCAGAGCAGUGACUUUCUGUCAGAGAGAGCAGAAGGAGACCCUUAUAGAACAGCUGUUCCACUGCUCCAAAGGCCUCGUGUGGUUCUAUCCCUUGGACUGCCUUUCUUCAACAGCCCAGACACCUGCUCUGUCAGAUUUAUAAGCCACACCCCCUAGAACCAUGCCAAUCAAAGCAUGGC